UCGCGGGAUGGAGCAGUCUGGUAGCUCGUCGGGCUCAUAACCCGAAGGUCGUUGGUUCAAAUCCAGCUCCCGCAAUC
rnacentral:tRNA from 2 species